rnacentral:rRNA from 1 species
AUUGAACGCUGGCGGCAGGCCUAACACAUGCAAGUCGAGCGGAGCGGCGGACGGGUGAGUAAUGCCAAGGAAUCUGCCUGGUAGUGGGGGAUAACGUCAGGAAACGGGCGCUAAUACCGCAUACUAUCAGAUGAGACUAGGUCGGAUUAGCGAGUUGGUGGGGUAAAGGCCUACAAAGGCGAAGAUCCGUAACUGGUCUGAGAGGAUGAUAAGUCACAAUGGAAUUGAGACACGGUCCAGACUCCUACGGGAGUAAGCAGUGGGGAAUAUUGGACAAUGGGCGAAAGCGUGAUCCAGCCAUGACGCGUGUGUGAAUAAGGUCUUCGGAUUGUAAAGCACUUUAAGUUGGGAGGCGUUACCAACAGAAUAAGCACCGGCUAACUUCGUGCCAGCAGCCGCGGUAAUAC